rnacentral:rRNA from 1 species
UACGGGGGGGGCAAGCGUUGUUCGGAAUUACUGGGCGUAAAGGGCUCGUAGGCGGUCAAUUAAGUCAGACGUGAAAUCCCUCGGCUUAACCGGGGAACUGCGUCUGAUACUGGAUGGCUUGAGUUUGGGAGAGGGAUGCGGAAUUCCAGGUGUAGCGGUGAAAUGCGUAGAUAUCUGGAGGAACACCGGUGGCGAAGGCGGCGUCCUGGACCGACACUGACGCUGAGGAGCGAAAGCCAGGGGAGCAAACGGG